rnacentral:lncRNA from 1 species
AUAAAAAAAAAAAUGUCUAUUGAUAAAAAUGCAAAGGGGACAAUAAGCCUAUGAUUAGAUUCAAAAGAAGUAAAAAUAAUUUUAUUUUUUUUAUAUUAGAUUUUUGAAAGCCAACUCUCUCGCGAAAAGUAGUAUAGACUCGAAUUCGUGGGCGUGAAUUUGUUUUUCAACCUCCGCUAAUCUCGAACAAUUCAAUUGCAGGGUAUCGAAACAGCUCGUUUCACCUACCGAUCGCGAUAUCCACGUAUGCAAGUACGUCUAAUAACAGGCAACGAGGGGAGGUGGCCCGACUUAUCGAUUAAUCGUCGCCCAUUGUAAUUUCACUAUUAGCUCUCUCGAACAAAGAAGAAAUAAAAAAAAUAAAAAGAGACACGAGAUACACGCCGCUUGCGAAACCGACCAAAGAGAUAUUAUCUUACGGCGACGAUUACGCGCGAAUACGCGCGUACUUUCUAAUUGCGAGAGCGUCCGCGGAUGUCGUCGACUGGCCUCACUACGUGAUAAGUGAAAAUAUCUCGUAAACCGUUGGCGAGAGCCAUGGCCGACGUGAUUCUAAAGUUAGGUACUGACUGGGAUAUAAACACUGUGUCUUGACAUUCGAACGACACCAGUAGAGAUACAUAAAAUUCAUUUAACUUUUAGAAAUCGGUUAGUUUGAGAUGAUAGAUUGUUAAUUAAUUUACAGAUUGUCCCCGAAAUCAUAGUAUAAACUAUGGGAUGGAUAAUGAUUCUACACGUAAAAAUAAAUCGAAGAAAAAGAAUAACAUUUUUUUGUUCGAGGCUUCGUUUUCGAGUAAAUCAAGUUUGAAAAAUUUUUAGGUUAUAAAUUGAGAAAGACGUUAAUCGAAGUUCAUUUAUUAAAUUAUAAAACAAUUUACAUGACAUUACCUUUUAUUAUUAAUGAAUUGAUGAAAUUCUUCUUAACAUAGACCAUUCUUGUCAAAUGAUAAAAUUUUAUUGCUGCACUAUUUCAUUAUCGUUAAUAAGUGUAUCAAUUUGACAGGUAAAAAGAAUUACACAUGUAUAAAAAAAAUCGAUGAAAGUAAAAGUUUGAAAUAGAAUCAGCUUCCCUAUUUUAAACUUCGCAAUGACUAUAAUUUGUCUGCUUCUUGAGGAUCAAAAUCGAAUAUAUACCGAAGUUCGUAUUCCACUCGAUAAACUUUAUUAACCGAACAAAUCGCACACUAUCAAUAUCAACACUAUUAUUCGAUCGUAUAGACGCCAAAAUUGAUGUCCACUCGUCAACUGAAUUACAAUUAACGAUAACAAUAACGUAAAAAAAUGGCAAUCGAGGUAAACAGGCAGCCAUUUUCUUAUCGUUACUUCCUAUCGAUUCAAUGAAAUCUCGAGAUCUCGAAGAGAUCAUAACGAACGAUCCCUAUAUUCAGAACGAAGAUCCUUAUCUCCAAGUCUGUUCAAUCUUCUAACAAUAUUUUGCCCUAGAUGAUCGACCGCAAAAUAAAAAAGACAAGGAAAAAUUAUAUUUCAAGAAUAAUAAAAAGAAAAGAUUCUAUUCUCUCGUUAUUUCUACUUUCGAUGUGCAAUUAUCGAUAAGAGUCGAUAUCUCGAUAAAAUCCUACGUAAUAGCAAUAAUUACCAAGAUGGAGCCACUUUCUUGUUAGAAUUAUUCAGAAAGAAAUCAAUCGAAAUGAACCGAAUGAAUAUAUACGUUUUCAUUAAAAUGAGAAUAUAGAAUUAGAUAUAUAAAUCAACAAAUAAAUAAAAAAAUAAACAAAACGUUAGCUGCUAUGUAACAUGUUAGUCGUUUAAGAUGAUUUUUAUUUUAUAUCAAUUCACUUAUCGAUACUUUAUAUCAUUUUAUCAUCAAAAUAUUUUAGAUUUUUUUAUAUAUAUAACAUCAAAAAACAUUAAAAGUAUGUAAAUAGCAAUAGUUAAAUGCAAUAUUAUACGAAAUAAAUGUUUGAAAUUCAACAAUUUAUAAUAACAUUUGAAGAAAGACACAAACAUGGCAGCUAACAUAUUAAAACAUAACCAAGCAAUCCGAAAUAGAACAGAAUAAAAUAAAUUGGAAAACAAAUACAUACGAGAAAGAAGUAUUUCGACGACAUAUGUACAUUUUUCAAUUCUGGAAUGCUUUUUUCAGAAAAUGAAAUAUCCAUUCUAACCUCUCAAUGAUGAAGUUGAAAUCUUCUUUCCAACGAACAGAUUUUAGACGAAAUAAAUAAUUUUGAAGAAAUUUACACUGUUUAUUUUUGACACAGAAUUUUAUAUUUAUUGAUAUUACUUUUAUACACUAUGAAGAGAUAAAAUAAAAAAUUAAAUUUUAUUCGAUGUACAGAAAACGACACAGUUCGAGUAUAAAGAAACGAAUCUAUGACGCAUAGAGGGCGACAGUGAGAGGUUAAUAAGCAUCGCCAUUUCACACAUGCUUAACCUCUUUAAUUGUAUAUUUCGAUCUCUCGAAAUCCGCAUCAAUCAACAGAUAAUUUUCUCUUCUAUUAGCUUAGAGUCUAAGAUUUAUAACGAAAUAAUCGUUCAAUUGCCGGAUCAUUCGACGGACAAAUGAGUCGGUUUAUCGGCCUUUAGAAUUCAGUCCAAUCGUGAGAUACGUGCUCCCGUGGGGCAUAAAUCGCAUAAGUCUUUCUAGUCGAUAGAAACCGUACUCGCAUAUCUAUAUUCGCGUUAUUCGGUACACGUAAUCGGUUUGUACUUCGAGUACCUAUUUUCUUGGAAGAAAGCAUUAGAAACAUUAUGCUUUCAAGAUACGAGAGUUGGCAAGAGUGAAAGUUCAUAUACGUAAAGUUACGUCAAAACGAGAUACCGAAAAACUUGUGCAUAAAAACUCGACGCGUGUUAACAUUCAUGUGGCCAAUAGAAUAUUACGCAAUGAGUCAUACAUUAUAUGCUGACAAGUACGAGCAAAUAUCUUUUCAACGAAAUUUCAUUUUGUGUAAUAAUUACAGUAAUAAUAAAAUUGUGUGUGAAUUAAUUGUAAGAUACGGAUUGUUGGAAAGAAAGACAAGAACAAUAAAGCAAAAAAGAUGGAUUAAAGAAGAAAGCAGGAGAAAGCGAUAUCCUCUUUCUCCAGGAUAAAUUGACGUAACUAAUCCCACACGGCGUUUUAUUAUCCUUCAUUAUCGAAGCACAAAUUAUAAUCCACGAAUAGCGUUUGGCGUUUAUGGAGGCAGUACCUAUGAAAACUAACCUAUAUUCUUUAUUCCUGGCGCAUGUCGUCGAGACCGUCGUUGGAUCGAACAAUGCGUUCGUCCCACGCCGCGCCAUGGUGCACUACCUCGUUCCAUGCUGGAUCUGCUAUCUAUGGGGCAAGAGUAACACAUGUACUUAGUAGAAACGGUCCUGUGGAGAACAUUCUGUGGAAUCUAAUUUAUUGGCAAGACGAUUGUGUGAGAGAGAACAUAUCUAGACAAUUGAUGAGAAAUUAAGUUUGAAUGGAUGUUGUGGCAUUCGUGGGCGUAAUUGUAUAGAUUAUUUGAUGUCGUGGAAGUGGAAGAAUCAUGGGCUCAUAGUUUUAGAAUUUUGAUAUUUAAUGAUUGAGAAUAAUUAUGGAAGAAGAACAAACAUAA